GGGCGGGGCAAGAGACGCCAGGAGCCCAGGACGCCGCAGCGGAAAGAGACACUGAGGGAGCAUUGAGCCAUCAAGUUAUGUGCGCACCAAUGCUACCCAGGACCGGAUCAUCGCCCGUACCUACCAAGGUACCGCCAACUCAGAACUCUUACAGCCGCUUCUUGAGACCCACAACUAAUGGGAUUUUUGCGGAAACACGGAAGCACGGAAAAGAUGCGGAUGCACUUUUGAAAAAAAAAGGAACACGGAUCCGCAAAUAAAAUGGAACACGGAUCCGCAAAAAAAAAGGAACGUAAAUCUGGAAAGAAAAUAUACUGACGUGUGAAUGGAGCCUUAGGGCCACAUUUGCCUAAAAAUGUAAACAAAAUGUUUCUGUUUUUGUGACGUUUUGUAUAUAGACAUCUAAUAAAGCCUGAAGUUUUAUUCCUCUUA